rnacentral:rRNA from 1 species
CCUACGGGCGGCAGCAGUGAGGAAUAUUGGUCAAUGGGCGCGAGCCUGAACCAGCCAAGUAGCGUGAAGGCUGACUGCCCUACGGGUUGUACACUUCUUUUAUAAAGGAAUAAAGUGAGGCACGUGUGCCUUUUUGUAUGUACUUUAUGAAUAAGCAUCGGCUAACUCCGUGCCAGCAGCCGCGGUAAUACGGAGGAUCCGAGCGUUCGCCGGAUUUAUUGGGUUUAAAGGGAGCGUAGAUGGGUUGUUAAGUCAGUUGUGAACGUUUGCGGCUCAACCGUAAAAUUGCAAUUGAUACUGACAGUCUUGAGUACAGUUGAGGUAGGCGGAAUUCGUGGUGUAGCGGUGAAAUGCUUAGAUAUCACGAAGAACUCCGAUUGCGAAGGCAGCUUACUAAACUGCCACUGACAUUGAUGCUCGAAAGUGUGGGUAUCAAACAGGAUUAGAUACCCUUGUAGUC